GUAUGAGAUGGCGAUGCGUCCCAUUAGCUAGUUGGUGAGGUAACGGCUCACCAAGGCAUCGAUGGGUAGGGGUUCUGAGAGGAAGGUCCCCCACAUUGGAACUGAGACACGGUCCAAACUCCUACGGGAGGCAGCAGUGAGGAAUAUUGGACAAUGGGGGCAACCCUGAUCCAGCCAUGCCGCGUGCAGGAUGAAGGCCUUCGGGUUGUAAACUGCUUUUGUCAGGGACGAAAAGGACCGUGUUAAUACCAUGGUCUGCUGACGGUACCAGAAGAAUAAGCACCGGCUAACUACGUGCCAGCAGCCGCGGUAAUACGUAGGGUGCAAGCGUUAAUCGGAAUUACUGGGCGUAAAGCGUGCGCAGGCGGUUCUGUAAGACAGAUGUGAAAUCCCCGGGCUCAACCUGGGAAUUGCAUUUGUGACUGCAGGACUAGAGUUCAUCAGAGGGGGGUGGAAUUCCAAGUGUAGCAGUGAAAUGCGUAGAUAUUUGGAAGAACACCAAUGGCGAAGGCAGCCCCCUGGGAUGCGACUGACGCUCAUGCACGANAGCGUGGGGAGCAAACAGG
rnacentral:rRNA from 1 species